GUAGGUGGCAAGCGUUGUCCGGAAUUAUUGGGCGUAAAGCGCGCGCAGGCGGUUCUUUAAGUCUGAUGUGAAAGCCCACGGCUCAACCGUGGAGGGUCAUUGGAAACUGGAGAACUUGAGUACAGAAGAGGAAAGCGGAAUUCCACGUGUAGCGGUGAAAUGCGUAGAGAUGUGGAGGAACACCAGUGGCGAAGGCGGCUUUCUGGUCUGUAACUGACGCUGAGGCGCGAAAGCGUGGGGAGCAAACAGGGAUUAGAUACCCUGGUAGUCCACGCCGUAAACGAUGAGUGCUAAGUGCUAGGGGGUUUCCGCCCCCCUUAGUGCUACAGCUAACGCAUUAAGCACUCCGCCUGGGGAGUACGGCCGCAAGGCUG
rnacentral:rRNA from 1 species